AACGUAGGGGGCGAGCGUUGUCCGGAAUUACUGGGCGUAAAGGGCGUGUAGGCGGUCAGGUGUAUCAAGGGUGAAAGCCCACGGCUCAACUGUGGGAGGUCUCUUGAGAUUACCUGACUAGAGGGUAGAAGAGGGAGAUGGAAUUCCCGGUGUAGCGGUGAAAUGCGUAGAUAUCGGGAAGAACGCCGGUGGUGAAGACGGUCUCCUGGGCUACUCCUGACGCUGAGGCGCGAAAGCUAGGGGAGCGAACGGG
rnacentral:rRNA from 1 species